rnacentral:lncRNA from 1 species
GCGAGGCACAUUUCCGAACAGUUCCCAGACGCACCCCCUCUUCCCCCCUCACCCUCCCCUCCGGCAGCCUCUCCCAUGGCUACUGCUGCUGGCUGGGACUUGGGCCCAGCCUGAGGCUUCAACCAGAGCCCUGUCCUUGAGCAGACUCACCUCAUCUUUCAGUCCUGCAGCUGGGCUGAGCGGGGAGUGGUCAGCUCAGAAGACACUGGCCUGGGGAUGAGAUACGGGGAAUGCUUCAGAGAGAAGAAAGAGCUUGUGAACAGGCAAUGCUGGUCUUAAAGGUGGCAUCUUGGUGCUUUCUCAUGCCUUGUUUUCUUUCAUCCUCAGAAUAUGGCUGAGGGUGAGGGGACGGGUGUGACUGCCAAAACUUCCUUUCUUGGUGAUUCCACAACACCCCUUUCUGAUCCCUGAGCCUGUGCCAUGCCCGGUGUGAUGUGCCGGGGACACCAGGGUGAAUACUUACAGUCCCUGUCCCCCUUCCUUCGCGGAACAGCCUCCUUUAGGGUGAGUCACUGGGCACUGGGGCCUCCCUGGUCUUCCAGGAUUGCAACUUCACAGAAUCCCUUUUCCAUAAGGCACAGGGAAGGGACUGUCACCCGCAACGGGAGCCUUGACAACCAGCCAAAUCAGAACACAGACCUUGAUGUCGGACGGCCCGGAGUUCAAAUCCUGCCUUGCUCUCUUUCAGCUGGAAAGCUGUGGUCCAAUUACUUAGCCUCUCCAAGCUGGUUUUCCCUUCUGCAAAAUGAGGAAGUACAAGCUGCCACCUCACAGAAUGACUCUCACCCACGCCUCCCCAAGCCUCCCGACAGAAGACAGAGGUCCCCCACAGCCCAGAGACAUUUCCUGAAGACAUGGGGAGCACAGAGGCGGAAACAGCCCAUCCACCCAGGAGCGGCCCCCAACGCUGCCGGCAGCCAGCACCCGGAGCCAUCAGGUAAAACUGAGGCCACCUGGCUCAACAUUGCUUUUCACAGAAGGGGAAACAGCCACAGAGAGAAGGGCCUGGUAAGAAGUGCAACCUGGGACCCCCAAGCGGUGGCUCUCAUCCUGACCGGGGAUCCAGAGUAG